rnacentral:rRNA from 1 species
GAUGAACGCUGGCGGCGUGCCUAAUACAUGCAAGUUGAGCGAACGGACGAGAAGCUUGCUUCUCUGAUGUUAGCGGCGGACGGGUGAGUAACACGUGGAUAACCUACCUAUAAGACUGGGAUAACUUCGGGAAACCGGAGCUAAUACCGGAUAAUAUUUUGAACCGCAUGGUUCAAAAGUGAAAGACGGUCUUGCUGUCACUUAUAGAUGGAUCCGCGCUGCAUUAGCUAGUUGGUAAGGUAACGGCUUACCAAGGCAACGAUGCAUAGCCGACCUGAGAGGAUGAUCGGCCACACUGGAACUGAGACACGGUCCAGACUCCUACGGGAGGCAGCAGUAGGGAAUCUUCCGCAAUGGGCGAAAGCCUGACGGAGCAACGCCGCGUGAGUGAUGAAGGUCUUCGGAUCGUAAAGCUCUGUUAUUAGGGAAGAACAUAUGUGUAAGUAACUGUGCACAUCUUGACGGUACCUAAUCAGAAAGCCACGGCUAACUACGUG